GGUGAGUAACACGUGGGUAUCCACCCUCGGCACCGGAAUAGCCCGGGGAAACCCGGAUUAAUGCCGGAUGGCCCUGCCGGCCCUGCGGGGCCUGGCGGAACAAGGUAGCUUCGGCCUCCUGGCCGAGGACGAGCCCGCGACGGAUUAGCUUGUUGGUGGGGUAACGGCCUACCAAGGCUGCGAUCCGUAGCUGGUCUGAGAGGACGAUCAGCCACACUGGGACUGAGCACACGGUCCAAAUUCAUAGGGAGGCAGCAGUGGGGAAUCUUGCGCAAUGGGCGAAAGCCUGACGCAGCGACGCCGCGUGGGGGAAGAAGGCCUUCGGGUUGUAAACCUCUUUCAGGAGGGACGAAGCCACUCGGGUUAAUAGCCCAGAGGGUGACGGUACCUCCAGAAGAAGCCCCGGCUAACUACGUGCCAGCCGCCGCGG
rnacentral:rRNA from 1 species